rnacentral:lncRNA from 1 species
AGCUCAUCACUUUUAUCAUGCUUUACCUCUGCUCAGUCUGCUUGUGAUGGCUGGAACAUUACAAAUCGCCUUUUUGCUGCGUCAACCAGUGUGAAAAUCUCUCGCAUCAAACAUGAUCUUCAUUCCCUAAAAAAGGGUGAGUUAAUUGUGACAGAAUAUAUUUCAAGAAUAGAGAAUACCUGUGCUUUACUUGUAGACUUGGAUCGGUGAUAUCAGAUGCUGAAAAGGUGGAAGUUUUUUUGGCUGGGUUCCCAUCAGAUUUUGAUGUCCUACUAACAUUGGCUUCUUUCUCACCAGAGCCCCU